rnacentral:rRNA from 1 species
CAGCCGCCGCGGGAAUACGAAGGGUGCAAGCGUUAAUCGGAAUUACUGGGCGUAAAGCGUGCGUAGGCGGUUUGUUAAGUCUGUUGUGAAAUCCCCGGGCUCAACCUGGGAAUGGCAAUGGACACUGGCAAGCUAGAGUGUGUCAGAGGAUGGUGGAAUUCCCGGUGUAGCGGUGAAAUGCGUAGAGAUCGGGAGGAACAUCAGUGGCGAAGGCGGCCAUCUGGGACAACACUGACGCUGAGGCACGAAAGCGUGGGGAGCAAACAGGAUUAGAUACCCCGGUAGUCCCUGUCUCUUUACC